GCCUGGGUGGCUCAGCGGUUGAGCGCCUGGCUUGGGCCCAGGGUGUGAUCCCGGGGUCCCGGGAUCGAGUCCUGCAUCGGGCU
rnacentral:tRNA from 1 species